AGUCGAGGGGUAACGAUGUAGCUUGCUACAGUCGACGACCGGCGCACGGGUGAGUAUCGCGUUUGUAACCUACCUCUAACUGGAGCAUAGCCCGAAGAAAUUCGGAUUAAUACUCCAUAACAAUACGAAAAGGCAUCUUUUUGUAUUUAAAGCUCAGGCGGUUAGAGAUGGGCAUGCGUAACAUUAGCUAGUUGGUGAGGUAACGGCUCACCAAGGCUACGAUGUUUAGGGGGUCUGAGAGGAUGGUCCCCCACACUGGUACUGAGACACGGACCAGACUCCUACGGGAGGCAGCAGUGAGGAAUAUUGGUCAAUGGGCGAAAGCCUGAACCAGCCAUGCCGCGUGAAGGAUGACGGCCCUAUGGGUUGUAAACUUCUUUUAUAGGGGAAGAAACCUGUCUACGUGUAGACAGUUGACGGUACCCUACGAAUAAGCAUCGGCUAACUCCGUGCCAGCAGCCGCGGUAAUACGGAGGAUGCAAGCGUUAUCCGGAUUUAUUGGGUUUAAAGGGUGCGCAGGCGGAAAAUUAAGUCAGUGGUGAAAUCCUGCAGCUCAACUGUAGAACUGUCAUUGAUACUGAUUUUCUUGAAUUUAGUUGAGGUAGGCGGAAUGUGUAAUGUAGCGGUGAAAUGCUUAGAUAUUACACAGAACACCGAUUGCGAAGGCAGCUUACUAAGCUAACAUUGACGCUGAGGCACGAAAGCGUGGGGAGCGAACAGGAUUAGAUACCCUGGUAGUCCACGCCGUAAACGAUGAUUACUCGUUGUUGGCAAUACAUCGUCAGCGACUGAGCGAAAGCAUUAAGUAAUCCACCUGGGGAGUACGAUCGCAAGAUUGAAACUCAAAGGAAUUGACGGGGGCCCGCACAAGCGGAGGAACAUGUGGUUUAAUUCGAUGAUACGCGAGGAACCUUACCUGGGCCUAGAUGCAAACGACGGACCGGGAAACUGGUCUUUCUUCGGACGGCUUGCAGGUGCUGCAU
rnacentral:rRNA from 1 species